rnacentral:rRNA from 1 species
UACGUAGGGGGCAAGCGUUGUCCGGAUUUAUUGGGCGUAAAGAGCGUGUAGGCGGUUUUACAGGUCCGCUGUGAAAACUCGAGGCUCAACCUCGAGCUGUCGGUGGAAACCGUAAGGCUAGAGUCCGGAAGAGGAGAGUGGAAUUCCUGGUGUAGCGGUGAAAUGCGCAGAUAUCAGGAAGAACACCCAUGCGAAGGCAGCUCACUACGGGAUCAUGACACUGAGGCACGAAAGCGUGGGGAUCAAACAGG